rnacentral:rRNA from 1 species
UACAGAGGGUGCAAGCGUUAAUCGGAAUUACUGGGCGUAAAGCGUGCGCAGGCGGUUAUGUAGGACAGAGGUGAAAUCCCCGGGCUCAACCUGGGAACUGCCUUUGUGACUGCAUAGCUAGAGUACGGUAGAGGGGGAUGGAAUUCCGCGUGUAGCAGUGAAAUGCGUAGAUAUGCGGAGGAACACCGAUGGCGAAGGCAAUCCCCUGGACCUGUACUGACGCUCAUGCACGAAAGCGUGGGGAGCAAACAGGAUUAGAAACCCGUGUAGUCC